AUUGAACGCUGGCGGCAGGCCUAACACAUGCAAGUCGAGCGGAUGAGAGGAGCUUGCUUCUCGAUUCAGCGGCGGACGGGUGAGUAAUGCCUAGGAAUCUGCCUGGUAGUGGGGGACAACGCUUCGAAAGGAACGCUAAUACCGCAUACGUCCUACGGGAGAAAGCAGGGGACCUUCGGGCCUUGCGCUAUCAGAUGAGCCUAGGUCGGAUUAGCUAGUUGGUGAGGUAAUGGAUCACCAAGGCGACGAUCCGUAACUGGUCUGAGAGGAUGAUCAGUCACACUGGAACGGAGACACGGUCCAGACUCCUACGGGAGGCAGCAGUGGGGAAUAUUGGACAAUGGGCGAAAGCCUGAUCCAGCCAUGCCGCGUGUGUGAAGAAGGUCUUCGGAUUGUAAAGCACUUUAAGUUGGGAGGAAGGGUUGUAGAUUAAUACUCUGCAAUUUUGACGUUACCGACAGAAUAAGCACCGGCUUACUCUGUGCCAGCAGCCGCAGUAAGAC
rnacentral:rRNA from 1 species